AUUGAACGCUGGCGGCAGGCCUAACACAUGCAAGUCGAGCGAGCGGCGGACGGGGGAGUGAUGUCUGGGAAACUGCCUGAGGGAGGGGGGUAACUACUGGAAACGGUAGAUAAUACCGCAUACCCUCAGAUGUGCCCAGAUGGGAUUAGCUCGUAGGUGGGGUAACGGCUCACCUAGGCGACGAUCCCUAGCUGGUCUGAGAGGAUGACCAGCCACACUGGAACUGAGACACGGUCCAGACUCCUACGGGAGGCAGCAGUGGGGAAUAUUGCACAAUGGGCGCAAGCCUGAUGCAGCCAUGCCGCGUGUAUGAAGAAGGCCUUCGGGUUGUAAAGUACUUUCAGCGGGGAGGCGUUACCCGCAGAAGAAGCACCGGCUAACUCCGUGCCAGCAGCCGCGGUAAUAC
rnacentral:rRNA from 1 species